rnacentral:rRNA from 1 species
UACGUAGGAUGCAAGCGGUGUCCGGAUUUAUUGGGUUUAAAGGGUGCGAAGGCGGCCUAUUAAGUUAGUGGUGAAAACGUUCGCCUUAACCGGAUACCCGCCAUUGAUACUGAUAGACUUGAGUGCGACAGAGGGUGUUGGAAUGUGUGGUGUAGCGGUGAAAUGCUUAGAUAUCACGCAGAACACCAAUUGCGAAGGCAGAUGCCUAUGUCGUAACUGACGCUGAGGCACGAAAGCGUGGGGAGCAAACAGG